rnacentral:rRNA from 1 species
GUCAAAUGAAGUAAGGCGUAGGGUGGAUACCUAGGCACCUAGAGACGAUGAAGGGCGUGGAACCGACGAAACGCUUCGGGGAGCUGGAAACAAGCAACGAUCCGGAGAUUCCCGAAUAGGGCAACCUUUAGUACUUCUAACUGAAUUCAUAGGUUAGAAAGAGGCAACUCAGUGAACUGAAACAUCUUAGUAGCUGAAGGAAAAGAAAGCAAACGCGAUUCCCUAAGUAGUGGCGAGCGAAAGGGGAACAGCCUAAACCAAGUUAUUAACUUGGGGUCGUGGGAAAACAUUUUAUAAAGUUCACAAAAAAUUUAGACGAAGCAGCUGAAACCUGCACCAUAGAUGGUGAAAGUCCAGUAGUCCAAAAAUUUCACUGAAUUUUCGUUUAUCCCGAGUAGCAUGGGACACGUGAAAUCCCGUGUGAAUCAGCGAGGACCACCUCGUAAGGCUAAAUACUCCUAGGUGACCGAUAGCGAAAUAGUACCGUGAGGGAAAGGUGAAAAGAACCCCUGUAGGGGAGUGAAAUAGAACAUGAAACCCUAUGCCGACAACCAGUGGGAGGUACUUUAGUACUGACCGCGUGCCUGUUGAAGAAUGAGCCGGCGACUUAGAAAACGUGGCAAGGUUAAGGAAACGUAUCCGGAGCCGAAGCGAAAGCAAGUCUGAAUAGGGCGAUGAAGUCAUUUUUUCUAGACCCGAACCCGGGUGAUCUAACCAUGACCAGGAUGAAGCUUGGGUGACACCAAGUGAAGGUCCGAACCGACCGAUGUUGAAAAAUCGGCGGAUGAGUUGUGGUUAGCGGUGAAAUACCAGUCGAACUCGGAGCUAGCUGGUUCUCCCCGAAAUGCGUUGAGGCGCAGCGGUCCAUAAGGCUAUCUAGGGGUAAAGCACUGUUUCGGUGCGGGCUGCGAAAGCGGUACCAAAUCGUGGCAAACUCUGAAUACUAGAUAUGCUAUUUAUGGGCCAGUGAGACGGUGGGGGAUAAGCUUCAUCGUCGAGAGGGAAACAGCCCAGAUCACUAGCUAAGGCCCCAAAAUGAUCAUUAAGUGACAAAGGAGGUGAGAAUGCUGAAACAACCAGGAGGUUUGCUUAGAAGCAGCCACCCUUUAAAGAGUGCGUAAUAGCUCACUGGUGGAGCGUUCUUGCGCCGAAAAUGUCCGGGACUAAAUGAUCUGCCGAAGCUGUGGGAUAUUUAAAAAAAUAUCGGUAGGGGAGCGUUCUGCUGUAGGGUGAAGCGGUUAUGUAAGUAACCGUGGACGAAGCGGAAGUGAGAAUGUCGGCUUGAGUAACGCAAACAUUGGUGAGAAUCCAAUGCCCCGUAAACCUAAGGAUUCCUCCACUAGGUUCGUCCAUGGAGGGUGAGUCAGGACCUAAGGCGAGGCCGAAAGGCGUAGUCGAUGGCAAACAGGUUAAUAUUCCUGUACUAUUUCAUGUUUGGUACCGAGGGACGGAGCAGGCAGAGAUUGGUCGAGAUUGGAUUUCGAUGGAAACUUUCAACAUGUUGAAAGGUAGAAGAAAAACUAACCUUGAGUGAAGAAGUGAUACGUCCACAUCUUUUAGGUGUGGGUCAGUUGACUGUCAUACUUCCAAGAAAAGCUCGAACUACUGUAAAACAUUAAAUACCUGUACCGUAAACCGACACAGGUGGGUUGGUAGAGUAUACCAAGGGGCGCGAGAUAACUCUCUCUAAGGAACUCGGCAAAAUGACCCCGUAACUUCGGGAGAAGGGGUGCCAAGUAACUUCAAUUGCUUGGUCGCAGUGACCAGGCCCUGGCGACUGUUUAUCAAAAACACAGGUCUCCGCAAAGUCGUAAGACAACAUAUGGGGGCUGACGCCUGCCCAGUGCCGGAAGGUUAAAGAAGUUGGUUAUUCAUUUUUGGAGAAGCUGACGACUGAAGCCCCGGUGAACGGCGGCCGUAACUAUAGACUUUUGUAGUUAUAAAAUCUAGCUAUAUGCUGGAAACUCUCGGAAUGCUUUCACUACUCAUUGGCAUGCUUUUUUUUUAAUCCACUGACAAGUUGCCGAUUUCUGCAACGUUCAGCAAAGAAAACUCCAAUAGUGACAAUGUAAAAGAUAGAGACAAUCAGCAGGAAAGGCUUUACAUGACCAAAAUACACCUUAUCAAACACGUUCCCAGAGACAAAGGCUUUUAUAUUGCCGGGUUUGUUGAUGGUGAAGGCUCUUUUUUCUUGUCCGCAAGACCAAGAACCGAUUACCCUACAGGAUGGAAAUUUUCUCCUACUUUUAGUGUAGGAAACAGUGACCUUGUAGUGUUAGAACUGUGUAAACAGUAUCUUGGAUGUGGGAAAAUUCGUGAAACUCGACCAAAGUUUUAUAUUUUAGAAGUUGCAGAUCGUGGCGUACUUGAACGGUUUAUCAUUCCAUUCUUUACACGCUUUCGCUUUCUUUCGACAAAGAAAAAACAGGAAUUUCGGGUUUUUCAAGCAACACUCCACCAAGUGAAGCAAGGAAUUCAUACCCUUCAAGAUCUCGAUGAACUCUUAGCCCUUCGCAAAGAACUUGGGAAACUAAGACAAAAUCGAAUCACACAUACUGAUGACAUGAUACGCAGCACAUUUAGGGUCAAGUAAAGAAUCCUCAGAGACUCUACGCUAGACUUUCAAAAUUGAAAGAUGAUAUAGUCCGAUCUCUAUAGAGAUAUAGAGGCAAGUGUCAAACUUGCGCAACUCUUUUAAAGAGAUUGUUAACAUACAUGAACGGUCCUAAGGUAGCGAAAUUCCUUGUCGGGUGAAAUUUGCCCGAAUGUGUGUGUAAACGCAUAUUAGUAAACCAACUCAUAACGGUGAACCCUAAGACAUGUGUAUGUUAUGGGAAUACCGUGGGAACCUCCAAAUCUUUGAACAAAGUGACUCGAUUUGGUGGACCCGUAACGACUGACUCGAAAGAGGAGGCGGGAAUGAGUCAUUUCUGCAACACGUUGGCACUUCUGAGUUCAAAAUCAAUCAUGGAGAAUUUAUGAGUGAACUUGAUCCUUGGUGGAUUACAGGUUUUGUGGAUGGAGAAGGGUGUUUUUAUGUAAGUUUUAGUGUAAGAGAAAGUCGAAAGCCAUCUCUAGAAGUAAGGCCAGGUUUUUCAGUGAGUCAAACUGGAAAGCGAAACUGUCCAGUCUUAGAGAAGAUUCAAAAAAGAUUUGGUUGUGGUGCAAUUCGAUAUUCAGCAAACGAUGGAACAUAUAAGUAUGAGGUUCGAUCACUGGAUGAUCUUCUCACGUACAUUCUUCCAUUUUUUCAAAAAUAUCCUUUUCAAACACCAAAAGGACAAGAUUUUCAGAAUUUUAUUGAAGUGUGUUCUUUGAUGAAACGGAAUUUACACAAAAACCGCGAAGGAUUAAUCACCAUUCUUGAUCUAGCCUAUGCCAUGAAUCCAUGUGGAAAAAGAAAAUAUACCAAAGAGUAUCUCCUAAAAUUGAUCAGAAGUUGAAGGUAUAGUCUGAACAUUAUGGAAACAUAAUGCCUAACAUUUUUGAAGUUCCGACCCGCACGAAAGGCGUAACGAUCAGGGCACUGUCUCGGAGAGAGACUCGGUGAAAUAGACAUGUCUGUGAAGAUGCGGACUACCUGCACCUGGACAGAAAGACCCUAUGAAGCUUGACUGUAGCUUGGAAUUGGGUUCGGGCUCUUCUUGCGCAGCCUAGGUGGGAGGCGUUGAAAGCUUUCUUUUGGGAAAGCUGGAGCCAUCAGUGAGAGACCACUCUGGAGGAGCUAGAAUUCUAAUGGCGUUCCUUGAAGCAGGACGCUUGACAGUUUCAGGUGGGCAGUUUGACUGGGGCGGUCACCUCCUAAAAGGUAACGGAGGUGUGCAAAGGUUCCCUCAGGCUGGACGGAAAUCAGCCGUAGAGUGUAAAGGCAGAAGGGAGCUUGACUGCAAGACCUACAAGUCGAGCAGGGGCGAAAGCCGGCCUUAGUGAUCCGACGGUUCCAUGUGGAAGGGCCGUCGCUCAACGGAUAAAAGUUACUCUAGGGAUGAGUUAUGUUGUCCCGCUUCGCGGUGACGCGAAGGCAAUAAACUGGGUGAAUUGCAAGGACAGCUAAGGUUUGGUUGAAUCAAAUCAAAUUAUGCCAAUUUGCAGCGAAGCUCGUACAAGACAUAUUUGAGAAACUGUCCAUUUUGGCUCAUUUUUCAAAAAUUGCACGAGAACGUUCAACGACUAGAGGGUGCGGUUGUGUUAACCAAUAAUCUCUCCACGAGUGCCCAGCAACUUUUUAAUUAUCAUGCAAAAAAGUUGAUGACAUAGUCUGACCUCCUGGGAAACCUGGAGAAGCAAAAGAUAAAGAGCUUUUGCGGUAACAAGAAGUGAACAGGCUGAUCUUCCCCAAGAGUUCACAUCGACGGGAAGGUUUGGCACCUCGAUGUCGGCUCAUCGCAACCUGGGGCGGUAGUACGUCCCAAGGGUUGGGCUGUUCGCCCAUGAAAGCGGUACGUGAGCUGGGUUCAGAACGUAAACAUCAUUGCGUUGAAGCAUAGAAAUAUGACUUCUAGUAUCGGCUUAUAUCGGUGAAACCUUCACAAGCUAGUUGUAUGGUAAUACCGAGGGAAGAAUACAUAUGACACUCAAACAAUUAACUGGAAAUGAUCUCGCUUAUCUAGCUGGAUUUAUUGACGGAGAUGGGUGUAUCAAUGCACAAAUUGUACGACGGCGUGAUUAUGUUUUGAAAUUUCAAAUACGAGUCAGUCUCGCACUUUUUCAAAAAACCUCACGGCAUUGGUUUCUUUUACAAAUCCAAGAUCAACUCGGAAGCGGUACGGUGAGAAAACGACCCGACGGUGUUUCUGAGUAUUGUCUGGUAGGGCCCUCUUCGAUCCGAAAUGUUCUUCAGAAUCUCCUUCCCUAUCUCCGAUUGAAAAAAAACCAAGCCAAAAUCGUGCUUUCAGUGAUUGAUACCUUGUCCAAAUCACAAGAUCCACAAGCUUUUGUAAAGCUUUGUGAAAUGGUGGAUACCAUUGCAGACUUGAACGAUUCAAAAAAACGAACUCUUCGAGCCUCUGUCGUUCGAUCAGAAUUAGGACUUGACUCAGAAAGUAUUCCCUGUAGAGACUGAAAUCAGAAAUGAUUAAGAUAUCUCCUCUGGUGAGAGGAAUAUAAUACGCCGACUCUUCGUAAUGGCUCUAAAAAAAAGAGGUCAUUUCAAGAUGAAGAUAUAGUCCAUGCUUUUAGGAAACUAAGAGAUUUAACAUGCGUGAGACAGUUCGGUCCAUAUCCGGUGUAGGCGUUAGAGCAUUGAGAGGAGCCUUCCAUAGUACGAGAGGACCUGGAAGGACGCACCUCUGGUAUACCAGUUAUCAUGCCAAUGGUAAACGCUGGGUAGCCAUGUGUGGAGUGGAUAACCGCUGAAAGCAUCUAAGUGGGAAGCCCACCUCAAGAUGAGUGCUCUCCAUUAGGUCACAGGAAGACAACCUGUUUGAUAGGCAGAAGGUGUAAGGCCAGUAAUGGUUUCAGCUGAUCUGUACUAAUAGACCGAUUGAUUUU